CCCGCUGAACUUAAGCAUAUCAAUAAGCGGAGGAAAAGAAACUAACAAGGAUUCCCCUAGUAACUGCGAGUGAAGCGGGAAAAGCUCAAAUUUAAAAUCUGGCGGUUUCACCGUCCGAGUUGUAAUUUAGAGAAGCAUUAUCCGCGCCGGACCGUACACAAGUCUCUUGGAAUAGAGCGUCAUAGAGGGUGAGAAUCCCGUCUUUGGUACGGACUCCCGGGGCAUUGUGAUGUGCUCUCGAAGAGUCGAGUUGUUUGGGAAUGCAGCUCAAAAUGGGUGGUAAAUUCCAUCUAAAGCUAAAUAUUGGCGAGAGACCGAUAGCGAACAAGUACCGUGAGGGAAAGAUGAAAAGAACUUUGGAAAGAGAGUUAAACAGUGUGUGAAAUUGUUGAAAGGGAAACGUUUGAAGUCAGUCGUGUUGGCUGGGGAUCAACCUGACUUAUUGUUAGGUGUAUUUCCUGGUUGACGGGCCAACAUCAGUUUUGACUGCCAGAAGAAGGCCAAGGGAAUGUGGCACCUUUGGGUGUGUUAUAGCUUUUGGUCGUAUGUGGUGGUUGGGACUGAGGACAGCAGUGCGCCGCAAUGGCAGGGUUUCGACCACAUUCGCACUGAGGAUGUUGGCAUAAUGGCUUUAAGCGACCCGUCUUGAAACACGG
rnacentral:rRNA from 1 species